rnacentral:rRNA from 1 species
AUUGAACGCUGGCGGCAGGCCUAACACAUGCAAGUCGAGCGGUAGAGAGAAGCUUGCUUCUCUUGAGAGCGGCGGACGGGUGAGUAAUGCCUAGGAAUCUGCCUGAUAGUGGGGGAUGACGUCCGGAAACGGACGCUAAUACCGCAUACGUCCUACGGGAGAAAGGGGGGGCUCUUCGGACCUCCCGCUAUCAGAUGAUCCUAGGUCGGAUUAGCUAGUUGGUGGGGUAAAGGCUCACCAAGGCGACGAUCCGUAACUGGUCUGAGAGGAUGAUCAGUCACACUGGAACUGAGACACGGUCCAGACUCCUACGGGAGGCAGCAGUGGGGAAUAUUGGACAAUGGGCGAAAGCCUGAUCCAGCCAUGCCGCGUGUGUGAAGAAGGUCUUCGGAUUGUAAAGCACUUUAAGUUGGGAGGAAGGGUCGUUACCUAAUACGUGACGAUUUUGACGUUACCGACAGAAUAAGCACCGGCUAACUCUGUGCCAGCCGCCGCAGUAACAC